rnacentral:rRNA from 1 species
UACGUAGGGGGCAAGCGUUAUCCGGAUUUACUGGGUGUAAAGGGAGCGUAGACGGCGAUGCAAGUCUGAAGUGAAAGCCCGGGGCCCAACCCCGGAACUGCUCUGGAAACUGUGCGGCUAGAGUACUGGAGGGGCAGGCGGAAUUCCUAGUGUAGCGGUGAAAUGCGUAGAUAUUAGGAGGAACACCAGUGGCGAAGGCGGCCUGCUGGGCUUUUACUGACGCUGAGGCUCGAAAGCGUGGGUAGCAAACAGG